CAACAUUAUGAGGUUUAACCAUGGUGACUGCACAAUGACUUAGUGGUUAGCGCUGCUGCUGCACACUGCCAGGGACCUGAGUUCAAUUCCUGACUGAUGUGACUUGAAAGCUUUCUACAGAAGGGAACGCGAGGAGAAUCUGUCAGGGAAGGCCAGCUGUAACCCCGGGGUCCUAAUUCAAGGAUGAGGGUGUCGCUGACCAGGCAGCAUUUAUUGCCCAUUCCUAAUUGCCCAGAGGGCAGUUAAGAGUCAACCACGUUGCUGUGGGUCUGGGGUCACAAGUAGGCCAGACCAGAAUCCCUACAGUGAAGAAUCAAGCCAUUUGGCCCACUGAGUCCACAACGACCCUCUGAAGAGCAUCUCAUCUAGACUCACACACACCUCACGCCAACCUACCCUAUUCUUAUGGCCCUGUAAGUCCAAUGCCUACUCCACCCAGCCUGCACAUCCCUGAACACUAUGGGCAAUUUAGCAAGGCCAAUACAUCUAACCUGCACGUCAACGGAUGAUGGAAGGAAAUCGGAGCACACAGAGGCAACCCACACAGACACAGGGAGAUUGUGCAAAUUCCACACAGUCACCUGAUGGUGGAGUCAAACCAAGGUCCCUGGUGCCGUGACGUAGCAGUGUUAACCACUGAGCCUCUGUACCACUGAUGAGAUACCCAACUGAGGCCUCAACAGCACUCUAAAUAAAUGUUUAAGAAAAUGGUGUAUCAAAGAAGAGCAGGGGAAUUAUAACCAAUACUUAUUCUUGAUCAAUAUCACAAAAACAUAUUAUUUGGUCAUUAUUACAUUGCUGUUCAUGGAAGCUCAAUUUAUGCAAAUUUGUUGCUAUGUAGGCUACAAAUGUAACAAUAGCUAUAUUUCAGAAUUACUUCAUUGACCAUAAAGUGCAUUGGGACAUCCUGUAAAUGUG